GACGAACGCUGGCGGCGUGCUUAACACAUGCAAGUAGAACGGAGUGGCGAACGGGCGAGUAACACGUGGGUGACCUGCCCUGCACUUCGGGAUAAGCCUGGGAAACUGGGUCUAAUACCGGCUAGGUUGGGAUGGGACCUCGGCCUAUCAGCUUGUUGGGGGGGUAAUGGCCUACCAAGGCGGCGACGGGUAGCCGGCCUGAGAGGGUGGACGGCCACAUUGGGCCUGAGACACGGCGCAGACUGGUACGGUGGGCAGUAGUGGGGAGUAUUGCGCAAUGGGGGGAAGCCUGAGGCAGCGACGCCGGGUGGGGGAUGCCGGCCUUCGGGUUGUAAACUCCUUUCACCAUCGACGCGUUAGAUGGAGAAGAAGCACCGGCUAACUACGUGCCAGCCGCCGCGGUAAUAC
rnacentral:rRNA from 1 species